ACGGCCAUACCAUGCUGAAUAUACCGGUUCUCGUUAGAUCACCGAAGUUAAGCAUCAUUGGGCGCGGUCAGUACUUGGGUGGGUGACCACCUGGGAACACUGCGUGCCGUU
rnacentral:rRNA from 1 species